AAUGCCGCGUGUGUGAAGAAGGCCUUCGGGUUGUAAAGCACUUUCAAUAGGGAGGAAAAGCUGUGCGUUAAUAGCGUAUAGCCGUGACGUUACCUAUAGAAGAAGCACCGGCUAACUCCGUGCCAGCAACCUCGGUGACUGAGCGGGCUGGCAAGGCGCAUA
rnacentral:rRNA from 1 species